rnacentral:rRNA from 1 species
UGGGGAAUUUUGGACAAUGGGCGCAAGCCUGAUCCAGCCAUGCCGCGUGCGGGAAGAAGGCCUUCGGGUUGUAAACCGCUUUUGUCAGGGAAGAAAUUCUGCGGGCUAAUAUCCUGCGGAGAUGACGGUACCUGAAGAAUAAGCACCGGCUAACUACGUGCCAGCAGCCGCGGUAAUACGUAGGGUGCAAGCGUUAAUCGGAAUUACUGGGCGUAAAGCGUGCGCAGGCGGUUAUGCAAGACCGAUGUGAAAUCCCCGGGCUCAACCUGGGAACUGCAUUGGUGACUGCAUAGCUAGAGUACGGCAGAGGGGGAUGGAAUUCCGCGUGUAGCAGUGAAAUGCGUAGAUAUGCGGAGGAACACCGAUGGCGAAGGCAAUCCCCUGGGCCUGUACUGACGCU